rnacentral:rRNA from 1 species
AAACAUCUUUUCUUGUUAGUUUUUGAAGUAUGGCCUGCCCGCUGACAUUUGGUGUUGAAGGGCCGCGGUAUUUUGACCGUGCAAAGGUAGCAUAAUCAUUAGUUCUUUAAUUGUGAUCUGGAAUGAAUGGCUUGACGAGGCACGGGCUGUCUUAGUGUUGAAUGUUUUAUUGAAUUUGGUCUUUGAGUUAAAAUUCUUAGAUGUUUUUGUGGGACGAGAAGACCCUAUAGAGUUUGACAUUUGGUUUAUUUACUUGUUUACUGUUUGUUUAUUUUUGGUGAGUGGGCUUUUUGUUUUGUUGGGGUGAUGGGAGGAAUGUACUUAACUCCUCUUAGUUUUGGUUAUAUUGAUUUAUAAUUGUUUGAUCCAUUUAUUUUGAUUGUAAGACUAAAUUACCUUA